AUUCCUGAAUUACAAAUGAAAGAAUUGGUAUUUACACCGCUGCUUUUAUUUAGCCAGAAUUGCUUGUGCUUCCCUGGAAAGCAAAAUGCAAGUGGAGCUUGAUAGAUGAGAGAGCAAAAACACAACAUUCGUACCUCUGAAGAAUCAGCUACUCUUCCAGACUUGCUCCUCCUGCUUCUGCUAGACGCCACAAUCAUCGACUCCAUAUCAUCCGGAACUAUCCACUGCUGCAGAAGUGCCUGUUCUUGCGCCAAAGCUUGCUGAUAGCCGGAAACCGAGGUCACGGACCGCCGACUCUGCGUACUGCUCAGUCGUGACGGAUUAUUCCUCAUCACCCAGAGCACCACCACGCAAGGUAUCACUU
rnacentral:lncRNA from 1 species